rnacentral:rRNA from 1 species
GUGCCAGCAGCCGCGGUAAUACGUAGGGGGCAAGCGUUGUCCGGAAUCACUGGGCGUAAAGGGUUCGCAGGCGGAAAUGCAAGUCAGUUGUGAAAGGCAGAGGCUCAACCUCUGUAAGCAAUUGAAACUGUAUUUCUUGAGAUGUGGAGAGGCAAGUGGAAUUCCUAGUGUAGCGGUGAAAUGCGUAGAUAUUAGGAAGAAUACCGGUGGCGAAGGCGACUUGCUGGACACAAACUGACGCUGAGGAACGAAAGCGUGGGUAGCAAACAGGAUUAGAUACCCCGGUAGUCC